rnacentral:lncRNA from 1 species
UAUUUUCGGCAUAUAAUUUACAAAAUUUUAGCAGUAAAAAACCGGUAAUGAGUAAUGACGAAGUCUGGUGGGAAUCGUUAGCAUACCACUAGAGAUGAUGAGAGCCUGAGCAGUAUAGUUGAGGUUUGCCUUGGCCCAGGGUACCAUACGACAAGCAGCCAACUGAAAAGGUUUGGAAGAGAGAGAAUCAAAAUUAGGACAAAGUUCUAAUUUGCUAUCAUGAUCAAUAGCACCAUGAUGUUCAUAACAAUAGAAAAGAUUUGGAAGGGAGAGAAUCACAAAAUACAAAUAUAGAGUGUUACAUACGGUAGGCACAGCACUGACAACACAAGUGAUCAUAGCUGCCUUAGUUCCUUCACGGACAGCCUCUGCAAUUCAUUCAACUAGAAAAUCAAUUGUCAUAUGAUGACUGGAAACGUAAGCAUAAACCGAGUUGCUACAUGUAAACUCAAAUACACGUCUAAAAUAAAAAAUCAGUUGCAGUCUCACUGUCUCAGACACAAGUACUCAAUUAUAACCUGUAUAAGCUCAGACUUGUAUUUAAUUACUUGCAGAGUUGACCUCAACCUCAAUUUCGCUACUACGAUAUGCAUUCAAUAAGAUGUACAUAACAUACUUCUCAUGCCAGAUCUUCAUACUUAAUCAUCAACUCAAUCAGACCCAAAACAACAGUAUGGAAAGUGCCUCGAAUUUAGAAAUCCCCAAAUCACUCAACUAUCCAGGUUUCAAGAUUCAUGUAUGUCUUCAAAAACUGAAAUCUUCUUAACAACUUAUUUAACACAAAUCACAAAAGAAAAGGCACUUAAUUCAAACAACUAAUAUUCUUGGGCCUGUACUAAUGUUAUUCUACUAACAAUAAUAUAUAUAUAAUAAUAUAUAUUUUAUAUAUUAUUUGGAUUUUUUUCGGGCUUCGGGUUUGGAUUUCAGGUCGGGUUUCGAUACAGAAUACCUAAAAUCCAAAUUUAAAUCCAAAUCCAAGCUCAUUCGGGUCUAAAAAUCAAAUCCAAAUCCAAAAUAUCGGGUUCGGUAAAAUCCAUUCAGGUCAGGUAUCCAUACGGAUCGGAUUUUUCUGCCAUCCCUAUCCCCAUCUGUCGACAACAUGAAUGCAACAUUCAUACACAAUCAUAUUGCAGAGAAAUUUGACAGAGGUAAGCACAAGCAUAAGAGAAUGGGAUUAAGAACUGCAGCUUUAGUAUCCAUCACAAUAUUAAUAAAAAGAAUUAAAAUUAAAAUACCUCUGGUUCCUUCACGGCCCAUUUUGUUUAUAUAUUAUGUCUUGAUUGUUUUUGCUGUGAAAUAAUAAGGAAGAAUGCAGUGAAAAGGAAACCAAAGGAUACAACUUUUGUACCUGGAAACAACAGAACAGAGAAAAACAAGGGAAAUAUGUGGUGGCUAACCUUUUUUCCCCUUUCUUGGUGGUUAUUUUUCUCAACAUGUUGAUGUGAAUUUAUUAAUUAAUAGUGAUAAUUAUAGAAAAAACUAAAAUUCAGAAUAGAGAGAAAGUAAAUGAAAAUUAUUAGACUUUAAAGAUAUUUAAUACAUAUAACUUUCUCCAUUGCCAAUUCUUUUCCCAAUUUAACUGAUCAACACUCGAAAAUCAGAAACACGAGGGAUUAAAAAUCUUUGCAUUUAGUCUAUUUUCUUCAAUACACAAAAAGGAAGCAUCAGAAUACAAAACCGAAGAACUUCACAUUACUGCAAGUAACAUCGAAACAAGUUUCUCGAGUUGUAUAAAGAACAUGAAAUACACAAAGAUCAGGAAUUUCCGCCUUGAGCUGAUUUCCUGUACUCGGCCUCAGCAUUUCUUCUUGCACAUGCCAAGAUUGUUUUGUCAGCAGUAAUGAAGUAUGCAGCGAUGGAUGCUAUUCAUCAGAAAACAAAAUAAAUUUAGCAGAGUUACUAAACAUAUCAAAGGUGAGUUGAGAAAUUGUUCAAUACUAGGUGAAAGAUAGUUCAAUUUAUGAUGAACUUUUAUUAAUUGCUUCCUUGAUAAAAUGACAUAUACUUUCAAAGCAAUAUCUAGUUUGUCUCCAGCUGCUAGACAUCAUAAAGAGGGAGAUUUCAUGGUAAAUCGCACUCAAAAGUUAUAGUAGUAAAACUUUAUUGCAUUCAUAACUUCUCAAGUAGGAGACUCUUUAGGUGUUUCCACAAGGAAAUGUGGGCUCGUAAAUUGUGAUGGCCAUGUCGAAUUCCUGACAUCCAUACAACAAGUUCAUGCUAGUAUAAACUUUAAACAUAACAAAACAAAAAUCUAGAAACCAAUUCACCCUUUCCCAUGAUCAUGAAGUUUUUCUUGCAUAUUAUUUGUCAAACAAGAUUAAGAGUGGUAGUUUUAAUUAUGUGCUUACUAGUCUUUUUGGCAUAUAAUUUACAAAAUUUCAGCAGUAAAAAACAGGUAAUGAGUAAUGACGACGUCUGGUGGGAAUCGUUAGCAUACCACCAGAGAUGAUGAGAGCCUGAGCAGUAUAGUUGAGGUUUGCCUUGGCCCAGGGUAUCAUACGACAAGCAGCCAACUGAAAAGAUUUGGAAGAGAGAAUCAGAAAUCAGGACAAAGUUCUAAAAUCAUUAACAUGAUCAAAUCAGCGCUUACAGAUAACGGGAAUGAUUGCACUGCCAACUGAAAAGACUUGGAAGAGAGGGAAUCACAAAAUACAAAUAUUGAGUGUUACAUACC